ensembl:snoRNA SNORD33 Small nucleolar RNA Z195/SNORD33/SNORD32 family
AUUGCCGGUGAUGACUUCCAUAUACCCAAAUUUUCGAGUUUCAUGUGUGAAAUUCUGAGAUCAAACAUGCACUACCAUCUGAGGCACA